AACGAACGCUGGCGGCGUGCUUAACACAUGCAAGUCGAACGCGAACGGGUUCUUCGGGACCUUAGUAGAGUGGCGCACGGGUGAGUAACGCGUAAGUUAUCUACCUCGGCAUCUGGAAUAACUCACCGAAAGGUGUGCUAAUACCGGAUACGUUGAGUAAUCAAGAAAGGUGGCCUCUCUUUGAUGCUACCGUGCUGAGAUGAGCUUGCGUACCAUUAGCUAGUUGGUGGGGUAAUGGCCUACCAAGGCGACGAUGGUUAGCGGGUCUGAGAGGAUGAUCCGCCACACUGGAACUGGAACACGGACCAGACUCCUACGGGAGGCAGCAGUGAGGAAUAUUGCGCAAUGGGGGCAACCCUGACGCAGCGACGCCGCGUGGAUGAUGAAGGCCUUCGGGUCGUAAAAUCCUGUCAGGUGGAAAGAAGUGUAUAUGUGCUAAUACCAUGUAUACUUGACGGUACCACCGAAGGAAGCACCGGCUAACUCCGUGCUAGCCGCCGCCGUAACAC
rnacentral:rRNA from 1 species